rnacentral:rRNA from 1 species
UAGGGAAUAUUGCACAAUGGGCGAAAGCCUGAUGCAGCAACGCCGCGUGAGUGAUGAAGGCCUUCGGGUCGUAAAACUCUUUUUGAGGAGAUGAGGAAGGACAGUAUCCUCAGAAUAAGGAUCGGCUAACUACGUGCCAGCAGCCGCGGUAAAACGUAGGAUCCGAGCGUUAUCCGAAUUUACUGGGCGUAAAGCGCGUGCAGGCGGUUUGGCAAGUUGGAUGUGAAAGCUCCUGGCUCAACUGGGAGAGGCCGUUCAAAACUACCAGACUAGAGGGCGACAGAGGGAGGUGGAAUUCCCGGUGUAGUGGUGAAAUGCGUAGAUAUCGGGAGGAACACCUGUGGCGAAAGCGGCCUCCUGGGUCGCACCUGACGCUCAGACGCGAAAGCUAGGGGAGCGAACGGGAUUAGAAACCCCGGUAGUCCUAGCAGUAAACGAUGUAGACUUGGCGUCGGUGGGGUAAAAGCCAUCGGUGCCGCAGCUAACGCGAUAAGUCUACCGCCG